CCUACGGGUGGCAGCAGUGAGGAAUAUUGGUCAAUGGGCGCGAGCCUGAACCAGCCAAGUAGCGUGAAGGAUGACUGCCCUACGGGUUGUAAACUUCUUUUAUAAAGGAAUAAAGUGAGGCACGUGUGCCUUUUUGUAUGUACUUUAUGAAUAAGGAUCGGCUAACUCCGUGCCAGCAGCCGCGGUAAUACGGAGGAUCCGAGCGUUAUCCGGAUUUAUUGGGGUUAAAGGGAGCGGAGAUGGGUUGUUAAGUCAGUUGUGAAAGUUUGCGGCUCAACCGUAAAAUUGGAAUUGAUACUGGAAGGUUUGAGGAAAGUUGAGGUUGGGCGGAUCCGUGG
rnacentral:rRNA from 1 species